AACGAACGCUGGCGGCAUGCCUAACACAUGCAAGUCGAACGAGACCUUCGGGUCUAGUGGCGCACGGGUGCGUAACGCGUGGGAACCUGCCCUUAGGUUCGGAAUAACUCCCCGAAAGGGGUGCUAAUACCGGAUAAUGUCUUCGGACCAAAGAUUUAUCGCCUUUGGAUGGGCCCGCGUUGGAUUAGCUAGUUGGUAGGGUAAAAGCCUACCAAGGCGACGAUCCAUAGCUGGUCUGAGGGGAUGAUCAGCCACACUGGGACUGAGACACGGCCCAGACUCCUACGGGAGGCAGCAGUGGGGAAUAGUGGACAAUGGGCGAAAGCCUGAUCCAGCAAUGCCGCGUGAGUGAUGAAGGCCUGAGGGUUGUAAAGCUCUUACCCGGGAUGAUAAUGACAGUACCGGGAGAAUAAGCUCCGGCUAACUCCGUG
rnacentral:rRNA from 1 species